GAUGAACGCUGGCGGCGUGCCUAACACAUGCAAGUCGAACGGAGAUUUAACGCUGACGAGACUUCGGUCAAAUCUUGUUAAAUCUUAGUGGCGGACGGGUGAGUAACGCGUGGGCAACCUGCCGGAAAGAUGGGGACAACAUCCCGAAAGGGGUGCUAAUACCGAAUGUUGUGCGAGAGACGCAUGUUUCUUGUACUAAAGGAUUCAAUCCGCUUUCCGAUGGGCCCGCAUCCGAUUAGCUAGUUGGUGAGAUAGAGGCCCACCAAGGCGACGAUCGGUAGCCGGCCUGAGAGGGUGGACGGCCACAUUGGGACUGAGACACGGCCCAGACUCC
rnacentral:rRNA from 1 species